ensembl:lncRNA
AUGGGGAUGGCUGCUGAGGUCAUUUCAGCUAUUUCAUCAGCUGUCUUGGUGAAAAAGGGGCUCCGUGCUGAGUACCAAAGAUGGAAUGGGAAUGUUCCUUCACUGCCAGUAAACUUGUUCAGCUUCCCAGUUUGCACAGUUGUGAAACGUCACCUUGCACUGUGUCCACUCGUGUGUGAAGGGAAGCGUGGAGCAGAAGUGUGGGUUGCCCAGACACAAGCAGGCAAAGUGAAGAGUUCCCCUUCUGCAGCCCCAUGUGCUGCUGCAGUGUGGUGUAAUGCUGAGGCACAGCCAUUUGCAGGCAUCUCUGAGCUUUUUUUUUUUUUUGGCUCUGUCUCUGUGGAGCUUUCAUGUGGCUGUUACCCUCCCUCCUUCAUGUGGGACUGUGGGCUCUCCUAAGCUUUUUGUUCCAGCUGGUCAGCUAGCAGCUGUCACUUGCUGGGGAUGGCAGGCUGGUGGAUUGAAGCCCCCAGCUGUGGACCCUGCCGUGGCUCCCUGUGGCACAGAGUUGGGAGGCUCAGCACUGCUCUGCAGCCCCUCUUGGCCACCUGGCUCCAGCUCCACCAGCAUGCCUGCAGGCUGGGGCCAUCCUUGUUACUCCAGGAGUACAUCAGCAUUUGCUCAGGACUGUAGAAGAGCUGGAGAGUGAGAGAGUGACAUCAGUAAUUCAUGAAUUAUCCUCCUGAGAAACAUUAUCCUUCC